rnacentral:tRNA from 1 species
GGUCAGAGGGAUGACGUUGGACUUGAAAUCCAGGGGGCUUGGGUUCGAGUCCCAG